rnacentral:tRNA from 1 species
GCCCGGGUGGCUCAGUCGGUUGAGCAUCUGACUUCAGCUCAGGUCAUGAUCUCAGUUUGUGAGUUCGAGCCCCGCGUCGGGCU